UACGUAGGGCGCAAGCGUUGUCCGGAAUUAUUGGGCGUAAAGAGCUCGUAGGCGGUUUGUCGCGUCUGCUGUGAAAACCUAAGGCUCAACCUUGGGCUUGCAGUGGGUACGGGCAGACUAGAGUGCGGUAGGGGUGACUGGAAUUCCUGGUGUAGCGGUGGAAUGCGCAGAUAUCAGGAGGAACACCGAUGGCGAAGGCAGGUCACUGGGCCGCAACUGACGCUGAGGCGCGAAAGCGUGGGGAGCAAACAGG
rnacentral:rRNA from 1 species